rnacentral:tRNA from 1 species
GGGCUCGUAGCUCAGCUUGGUUAGAGCGUCUGGCUCUUAACCAGAAGGUCGGGGGUUCAAAUCCCUCCGGGCCCA